rnacentral:ncRNA from 1 species
UGUGGCUGCGAUGAAAAGGGAAUCAGGUGAAAAUCCUGAACAGACGGUGCUGCUGUAAUUCUCCACCACAAAGCCAUUCACACAAGCCACUGGUUGUGAUCGCCACAACGUUGCAUCACGACCGGGAAGGCAUGAACAGGCUGGAGAAAAGUCAGAAGACCUGCCAAGUCUUGA